UACGUAGGGGGCAAGCGUUAUCCGGAUUUACUGGGUGUAAAGGGAGCGCAGGCGGUAUGGCAAGUCAGAUGUGAAAACCCAGGGCUCAACCCUGGGACUGCAUUUGAAACUGCCAUACUGGAGUGCCGGAGAGGUAAGUGGAAUUCCUAGUGUAGCGGUGAAAUGCGUAGAUAUCACGAAGAACCCCGAUUGCGAAGGCAGCCUGCCGCAGCGUUACUGACGCUGAAGCUCGAAAGCGCGGGUAUCGAACAGG
rnacentral:rRNA from 1 species